rnacentral:rRNA from 1 species
ACGGGUGAGUAACGCGUGGGAAUCUACCUUUUGCUACGGAAUAACGCAUGGAAACGUGUGCUAAUACCGUAUGUGCCCUUCGGGGGAAAGAUUUAUCGGCAAAGGAUGAGCCCGCGUUGGAUUAGCUAGUUGGUGGGGUAAAGGCCUACCAAGGCGACGAUCCAUAGCUGGUCUGAGAGGAUGAUCAGCCACAUUGGGACUGAGACACGGCCCAAACUCCUACGGGAGGCAGCAGUGGGGAAUAUUGGACAAUGGGCGCAAGCCUGAUCCAGCCAUGCCGCGUGAGUGAUGAAGGCCUUAGGGUUGUAAAGCUCUUUCACCGGUGAAGAUAAUGAUGGUAACCGGAGAAGAAGCCCCGGCUAACUUCGUGCCAGCAGCCACGGUAAUACGAAGGGGGCUAGCGUUGUUCGGAUUUACUGGGCGUAAAGCGCACGUAGGCGGAUCGAUCAGUCAGGGGUGAAAUCCCAGGGCUCAACCCUGGAACUGCCUUUGAUACUGUCGAUCUGGAGUAUGGAAGAGGUGAGUGGAAUUCCGAGUGUAGAGGUGAAAUUCGUAGA